ensembl:lncRNA
AUGGGUAAAGGAUCCAGCAAACCAGAACCAAAAGAGUCCUUAAAAUGUAAAGAUUGGAAAUACGUUGAACAAAUUAACAAAGCCUACGUUGAACCAUUAAAUAAAUGGAUAGUAAAGUACGAGUUCGAAGGGCAAUUAAGGGUAAGAAGCUUGGUAGAGUUACAGGGGGCCAUUAAGUUAAAAUGUAAAAAUAAAGAAAAAGAGAUGAAGAAAGAAGGUGUUGACGAGUUAAUGCAAUGGAUAAAGAUAGCGGGGAAACGAGAAGAAGGAGAGAGAAGGGAUAGACAGGCCAGGGAAGCUACAGCGAGAGCGAAGAGCGAGGGGGAGGAGGUACCCAUUGUUAAAAAAACUGAAGGCGCCGUCCUGUUUCAUCGUAAGGAGGACGACGAGUCUGUAACCAGAGGGAGCCGUAGGGGAGGGGUGAGCGCAGCUCAGGAGAGAGGAGCAGAAGGGGAGGGGGCGAUGGAAUCAACGCCACAGCCUCUCACAUUACCACCACCUCCUACGAACUUACUGUAUCCUGAGAUACCUAAAUUUGAAGAAGAAAACCCCCCUGCUUAUAAACCUGGCGCCUACUCCCCAACACCGCAUACUCGAUCUCGAGGGGAAGUAAGACCCUGGUCUAAAACCUUGGGCAAAGUUUGGGACAGUCCCCCCAAAAUGCCAUAUUUACAAGAGGGGGAUCAAUAUCCCCUUAUAGAAGUGGCCAACCCUAAUCCAAGUGACGAUGAGCAGUCUCGUACCAUCCUAGUAUAUCGGACCUGGACUCAGAAAGAUAUAAAAAAGGUGGUAGAAGGCGUGACUCCUUAUAAAGAGGAUAUAGAAAAGUUUAAGGGAGACAUGGAGGCGAUUCGAAGGUCUUACCAUUUGAACGGUGUUGAAGUGCAACAAAUAUAUAUGCAAGCAAUGGGGCAGGACUGGCACCAUGUAGAGGGUAACUGGUCACCAUUAGCAACGAACGGUGAACCCCUGGGUCAGGAGGAGGAAGAGUUAACAGACAGAACGUUAGCUUUGUUAAAUAGGAUUCGGGAAAAGUAUAGGAAGAGAGCAAACUAUAGUGAAAUUGGGAGAGUGAAGCAGGAGGAGGAUGAGAAGUUUGAGGAUUAUAAAGUUAGAAUGGAGAAGGUCUUCAAACAGCAUAGUGGUCUUGUGGAUGAAGGUGGGCCUGAAGGAGUGUAUCGUCAACAACUUAAAAAUGCCUUGCAUAGUGGGUCAAAAGACGGGGUGCGUAAUUGGGUAGACAAACAUAUGAUAGGGCUGCCCACUAAGACAUUGGAAGAGUACCUAGACCACGCCGCACACAUAGAUAAAUUAAUCAGAACCAAGAAAGCAGUAGAUAAAUCCACAAAAAAGAAAACUGACACCUUUUGGGGAGAUGUCGGGGGGAGUGAAGACGCAUUUUAUCAAGAAGGCAGAGGCAGAAUGAGACAGAGAGGACGCUUCCAGAGAGACAGAGCAGGGAGAGGCGGGGGCGUCCAGAGUCGAGGGUGGAGACCACGUAGCCGAUUGGGAGCAGGCUGCUGGUCCUGCGGGAAGUCUGGGCAUCUUGCCAGGGAUUGUCCAACAGGGCCAGGAGCCAAUUCAGCAUGA